rnacentral:rRNA from 1 species
CCUACGGGGGGCUUCAGUGGGGAAUAUUGCACAAUGGGGGAAACCCUGAUGCAGCAACGCCGCGUGAGCGGUGAAGGCCUUCGGGUCGUAAAGCUCUGUCCUACGGGAAGAAUACUGACGGUAACUUAGGAGGAAGCUCCGGCUAACUACGUGCCAGCAGCCGCGGUAAUACGUAGGGGGCUAGCGUUAUCCGGAAUUACUGGGCGUAAAGGGUGCGUAGGCGGCCCUUCAAGGCAGAGGUGAAAGGCUACGGCUCAACCGUAGUAAGCCUUUGAAACUGUAGGGCUUGAUUGCAGGAGAGGCGGGUGGAAUUGCCAGUGUAGCGGAGAAAUGCGUAGAUAUUGGGAGGAACAGCAGUUGCGAAGGCGGCUCUCUGGACUGUAACUGACGCUGAGGCACGAAAGCGUGGGGCGCGAACAGAAUUAGAUACCCCUGUAGUC